rnacentral:rRNA from 1 species
UACGGAGGGUGCAAGCGUUAUCCGGAUUCACUGGGUUUAAAGGGUGCGUAGGUGGGCAAGUAAGUCAGUGGUGAAAUCUCUGGGCUUAGCCCGGAAACUGCCAUUGAUACUAUUUGUCUUGAAUUCUCUGGAGGUAAGCGGAAUAUGUCAUGUAGCGGUGAAAUGCUUAGAUAUGACAUAGAACACCCAUUGCGAAGGCAGCUUACUACGGAGACAUUGACACUGAGGCACGAAAGCGUGGGGAUCAAACAGGAUUAGAAACCCCGGUAGUCC